UACGAACCGUGCAAACGUUAUUCGGAAUCACUGGGCUUAAAGGGCGCGUAGGCGGGCGGUCAAGUCAAGGGUGAAAGCCUCCAGCCCAACUGGAGAAGCGCCUUUGAUACUGGCCAUCUUGAGGGGUGCAGGGGCAGGCGGAAUUCCGGGUGUAGCGGUGGAAUGCGUAGAGAUCCGGAAGAACACCGGUGGCGAAGGCGGCCUGCUGGGCAGUUUAGCUGACACUGAGGCGCGACAGCGUGGGGAGCAAACAGG
rnacentral:rRNA from 1 species